ACAUUUGUGUUUAGAACUUUAAAAGACUGGACACUGCUUCAGACUUGCCUGGCCGCUUCUGCCCUUCUCCUAUGAGUCUCCACCAGAAAGUGCCUUAUUCUUGUUGUAAGCCCUCAGGCCUCAGCGGUCCUGCUCUGGGCCAACUCUAUUUGGCUGGAUAUUUACAUGCAAUGGAAUGGCUCUAACAGCAGAAAAGCUGGGAACAGGUGAAGAAGCUGUGAUUGCUUCUCAGCCUUGGACUUGUGCCAGAGACUUGGGGGACAUGGAAGGAGACACUGGGAACAGAUGUGGGUGAGACACCUAUGGGGAGAUUACAGUGGCAACAUUUAUCUUGAUUUUGAUUUUGCUCUUUUCCUUCCAGACUUGUCUGGCUCUUUCUGCCCCUUUCCUAUGGGUCCCCACCAGAAGGUGCCUUAGACUUUUGACAGAUUUGGGGGCCUCAGUGUCCCUGUUUUGGAUCAAAUUGUUUGGCUGAGGUGACCCACAAGGGGAUGGGUAAAUUGGGGUGCUUGAUUGGGAAACAUAUUCUCUAUUCUGUUCCUUCAUUCUCUUUCUUACACAGUGAUUGUAUUAAAGUCCUUCCCAUUAAAUGUCUUAUGCACUAGAGUAUGUUUUGUUUUCAUGAGGCAGAUGGCAGAACCCAUUUAGCGUGGGCAGGUUUGGGAGUCUUGGGUUCUCUCACCCUGCCUGGUAACAGAACCUCCUUUACUGUGGAUAUC